rnacentral:lncRNA from 1 species
CUGAAAAUAGAGCGUACGGAGCUGCGCCUCUUAGGGCUGAGACUGCGCCGUGUGCUGAGCUGCACCCGGGGAGGAGGGAGCCAGCCGGCGGCCCAGCUCUAUGCUCUUCAUUUUGCUCUGCAGAAACAGCUCUAGGUUUGGCCAGGAGCAGGAAAGGAAUGCGUUUAUCCUGCGCUGGGCUGCGCGUAAAGUGGGCGCUGUGGGAUGCCGUGUUUCUGCGCCUCGGCUCCUUCUUCUCUGGAAAGAGUAGCAAAGAUCUGACUGUAAAAGCAGGUUUGCAGGCAGACAGGAAGGACUGCCCCUGAGAAGUAAAGGGGCUUUUAUUUCCAGGGGACCCGCCAGAACUCCGAGAUUCAGCCCUAGGCGCACCUCCUUCCUUCCCCGCCCCCCCCGGCACCGACGAGGAGAGGCAUCAUCCAGCCCCGCUCCCCGAGGCUCCUCGCCUGGCCUCGUCCCGGCUUGGCAGUGCUGCA